CGAAACAAAUCAAUGGAAAAAUAACAGGUUCCCCCCGCCGAUAGAACUCGGAUGGCUAAGAAAAAAAGGAAAAGUUUUUUUGGAAGAAUCAAACGAGAAUCUCAUUCGGCGGCCAGGAGAGUGUGCGUAAUAUACACUUGUCUGUAAACCCACGGCUGCUGCUGCUGGUUGCUGGUUGCUGCACCUUGCACGAACAACAUACCGGCAGGCCAAAAUCAGUCCGCUAUGCUCCAACUGCUGGCGCCGACCGUAGCGUGGCAUGUAUAUAGUGAGUGAGAGCAGAGGGGGCCUCCGGGAGACCGACCGUGUUACUGGCUGGCCCUCUGUUACUCAUCAAGAUAAGUUGCCCAUACACAUGCAACCCAAGGUCGUCCAGGGCUCACAGCUGGUUAACAGGCACCGGACCUGACAAGGUUGGAGGAAAAUUUGAAUGUGAAAAUGAUUUUACUUGGCGUCUUUCUGCGACGUACGUACAGUACGUACGUCUAACUACGUCCAACUAUAAUAAGAGAAGCGCUGCCGUCCCCUUUCCACCCUUCUUAAUCUUCGUUAAAUAUACACGUAUACGGGUACCGGGAGAAGGAGAGCAACUCGAAGAUGGCGACGACGACUGUCCACGCGUGAAAUAAUAAUAAUGACGGGUAAUUCCGAAAAGACUCCCUCCUCGUGAACGAUCCCACAUUUCUUUAUUCUCCCCCAUGUGGGGUCGAUUUACUUGCCAACUGAGUUUCACGGGAGAUUCAACGGCGUGAUAUCUAACACCUUGAUUACCAUUAUCUUCUUUCGCGUCAACUUCUUCUUCUUCUUUCUGGCGUCUACGUCGUAAAUUCUCUGGGCUGCAAAAGGGAUUUCGAUUCACAAGUUACAC